GCCGACAGCUUGCUGUUGGUGGAUGAGUGGCGAACGGGUGAGUAACACGUGAGUAACCUGCCCCUGAUUUCGGGAUAAGCCUGGGAAACUGGGUCUAAUACCGGAUACGACCAACCCUCGCAUGAGGGUUGGUGGAAAGUUUUUCGAUCAGGGAUGGGCUCGCGGCCUAUCAGCUUGUUGGUGGGGUAAUGGCCCACCAAGGCGACGACGGGUAGCCGGCCUGAGAGGGCGACCGGCCACACUGGGACUGAGACACGGCCCAGACUCCUACGGGAGGCAGCAGUGGGGAAUAUUGCACAAUGGGGGAAACCCUGAUGCAGCGACGCAGCGUGCGGGAUGACGGCCUUCGGGUUGUAAACCGCUUUCAGCAGGGAAGAAGCGAAAGUGACGGUACCUGCAGAAGAAGUACCGGCUAACUACGUGCCAGCAGCCGCGGUAAUACGUAGGGUACGAGCGUUGUCCGGAAUUAUUGGGCGUAAAGAGCUCGUAGGUGGUUGGUCACGUCUGCUGUGGAAACGCAACGCUUAACGUUGCGCGUGCAGUGGGUACGGGCUGACUAGAGUGCAGUAGGGGAGUCUGGAAUUCCUGGUGUAGCGGUGAAAUGCGCAGAUAUCAGGAGGAACACCGGUGGCGAAGGCGGGACUCUGGGCUGUAACUGACACUGAGGAGCGAAAGCAUGGGGAGCGAACAGGAUUAGAUACCCUGGUAGUCCAUGCCGUAAACGUUGGGCACUAGGUGUGGGGGACAUUCCACGUUCUCCGCGCCGUAGCUAAC
rnacentral:rRNA from 1 species